GACGUAGGGCGCGAGCGUUGUCCGGAUUUAUUGGGCGUAAAGAGCUCGUAGGCGGCUUGUCGCGUCGAAUGUGAAAACUCGGGGCUCAACUCCGAGCUUGCAUUCGAUACGGGCAGGCUAAAGUUCGGUAGGGGAGACUGGAAUUCCUGGUGUAGCGGUGGAAUGCGCAGAUAUCAGGAGGAACACCGGUGGCGAAGGCGGGUCUCUGGGCAGUAACUGACGCUGAGGAGCGAAAGCGUGGGGAGCGAACAGG
rnacentral:rRNA from 1 species